UUGUUGGGUAGGGGAGCGUUCUGUAAGCCUGUGAAGGUGUGUCGUGAGGCAUGCUGGAGGUAUCAGAAGUGCGAAUGCUGACAUAAGUAACGAUAAAGCGGGUGAAAAGCCCGCUCGCCGGAAGACCAAGGGUUCCUGUCCAACGUUAAUCGGGGCAGGGUGAGUCGACCCCUAAGGCGAGGCCGAAAGGCGUAGUCGAUGGGAAACGGGUUAAUAUUCCCGUACUUGGUGUUACUGCGAAGGGGGGACGGAGAAGGCUAUGUUGGCCGGGCGACGGUUGUCCCGGUUUAAGCGUGUAGGUGUGUGUUCCAGGUAAAUCCGGUUCACUUUAACACUGAGGCGUGAUGACGAGGCACUACGGUGCUGAAGCAACAAAUGCCCUGCUUCCAGGAAAAGCCUCUAAGCAUCAGGUAACAUCAAAUCGUACCCCAAACCGACACAGGUGGUCAGGUAGAGAAUACCAAGGCGCUUGAGAGAACUCGGGUGAAGGAACUAGGCAAAAUGGUGCCGUAACUUCGGGAGAAGGCACGCUGACACGUAGGUGAAGUGAUUUACUCACGGAGCUGAAGUCAGUCGAAGAUACCAGCUGGCUGCAACUGUUUAUUAAAAACACAGCACUGUGCAAACACGAAAGUGGACGUAUACGGUGUGACGCCUGCCCGGUGCCGGAAGGUUAAUUGAUGGGGUCAGCGCAAGCGAAGCUCCUGAUCGAAGCCCCGGUAAACGGCGGCCGUAACUAUAACGGUCCUAAGGUAGCGAAAUUCCUUGUCGGGUAAGUUCCGACCUGCACGAAUGGCGUAAUGAUGGCCAGGCUGUCUCCACCCGAGACUCAGUGAAAUUGAACUCGCUGUGAAGAUGCAGUGUACCCGCGGCAAGACGGAAAGACCCCGUGAACCUUUACUAUAGCUUGACACUGAACAUUGAGCCUUGAUGUGUAGGAUAGGUGGGAGGCUUUGAAGUGUGGACGCCAGUCUGCAUGGAGCCGACCUUGAAAUACCACCCUUUAAUGUUUGAUGUUCUAACGUGGACCCGUUACCGGGUUGCGGACAGUGUCUGGUGGGUAGUUUGACUGGGGCGGUCUCCUCCUAAAGAGUAACGGAGGAGCACGAAGGUUGGCUAAUCCUGGUCGGACAUCAGGAGGUUAGUGCAAUGGCAUAAGCCAGCUUGACUGCGAGCGUGACGGCGCGAGCAGGUGCGAAAGCAGGUCAUAGUGAUCCGGUGGUUCUGAAUGGAAGGGCCAUCGCUCAACGGAUAAAAGGUACUCCGGGGAUAACAGGCUGAUACCGCCCAAGAGUUCAUAUCGACGGCGGUGUUUGGCACCUCGAUGUCGGCUCAUCACAUCCUGGGGCUGAAGUAGGUCCCAAGGGUAUGGCUGUUCGCCAUUUAAAGUGGUACGCGAGCUGGGUUUAGAACGUCGUGAGACAGUUCGGUCCCUAUCUGCCGUGGGCGCUGGAGAACUGAGGGGGGCUGCUCCUAGUACGAGAGGACCGGAGUGGACGCAUCACUGGUGUUCGGGUUGUCAUGCCAAUGGCACUGCCCGGUAGCUAAAUGCGGAAGAGAUAAGUGCUGAAAGCAUCUAAGCACGAAACUUGCCCCGAGAUGAGUUCU
rnacentral:rRNA from 1 species